rnacentral:rRNA from 1 species
AUUGAACGCUGGCGGCAGGCCUAACACAUGCAAGUCGAACGAGCGGCGGACGGGUGAGUAAUGUAUGGGGACUGCCCGAUGGAGGGGGAUAACUACUGGAAACGGUGGCUAAUACCGCAUACUAUCGGAUAACCCAUAUGGGAUUAGGUAGUAGGUGGGGUAAAGGCUCACCAAGGCGACGAUCUCUAGCUGGUCUGAGAGGAUGAUCAGCCAAACUGGGACUGAGACACGGCCCAGACUCCUACGGAGGCAGCAGGGGGGAAUAUUGCACAAUGGGGGCAAGCCUGACGCAGCCAUGCCGCGUGUAUGAAGAAGGCCUUAGGGUUGUAAAGUACUUUCGGCGGGGAGGCGUUACCCGCAGAAGAAGCACCGGCUAACUCCGUGCCAGCAGCCGCGGUAAUUC